rnacentral:rRNA from 1 species
UACGUAGGGUGCAAGCGUUAAUCGGAAUUAUUGGGCGUAAAGAGCUCGUAGGCGGUUUGUCGCGUCUGCUGUGAAAACCCGAGGCUCAACCUCGGGCCUGCAGUGGGUACGGGCAGACUAGAGUGCGGUAGGGGAGAUUGGAAUUCCUGGUGUAGCGGUGGAAUGCGCAGAUAUCAGGAGGAACACCAAUGGCGAAGGCAGAACUCUGGGCCGUAACUGACGCUGAGGAGCGAAAGCAUGGGGAGCGAACAGG